CCUGCACCAUUCGGAUUAAUUAAAAGAACUGGUUACCAAUUGGAGAUGCUGCAAAUAAGCGGAUGCAUCAUCUUAACAUUUGAGAGAAUGGAGGGUUCCAAAGGGAAUCACUUGGAAUCAAGCAAAAGUUUGGUUACCAAUUGGAGAUGCUGCAAACAAGCGGAUGCAUCAUCUUAAUAUUUGAGAGAGGAGUCCAAAGGGAAUCACUUGGAAUCAAGCAAAAAUAGCCUUAAGUCAUGCAACAACUUGGAAUGCUUAAAUUACAGCAUGCACAGGAUGCCUCCCCACCAGAUUUUGGAGGAGAGUAAGUAGUUACUCUUAAAUUGCUAACUUCUGCUUUUAUUAUUCCCCUGUCAACAGUUUUGGUUUCUCAGUCUUUCUCCUAAUCAGAAGGCCUUCUAUCUUUUCUCAAUUUCGGAGGCUUUUUGUUCCUUCAGAGGCCUGAUUCAAUUGUCUGGCAUGCCUUCUCUUUCCUCGUAUAUGUUUUAUAGCUCUCUUUGUUCAGAUUUCAGAAAAAGAAAAGCACAUGAUCAUCUGAUUGACAAUGCUGUCCUCUUUUCUUCUUUCUCUAAUCCAUGCAUUGUAAUACAUGAAUUAAGCUUUCUGUUGCAGACUCUAUCCUUCAGAGUUUCACCGACUUCUGCCCUUUGAGAAGCCAUGGUUCUUACCAAAAUGCAUCAGCCAUCUUACAUACUACUGAAGAAAUCUGACUCAAUUUCAAAUAAAGGAAGUCAUUACUGCUACGGAAAGGAUGCAAGAGAUGCAGAGACAAAAUGUUUCGAAGCCCCAGAAGGCAAAAGAUAAGGCUCCUCUUUACAGCAGCUCGACUCAGUUUUUGCUAAAAAAGCUAGUCCUAAUCUGACAUGAUAACCAUUAGCAAGCCCAAGUACUAGCAAAGUUAUAGAAUCAGAGUAAAGGACUAGGCCAAAAAAAUACUGAUAGAUGAGAUACUAAAAAGUAAUACAGCUCAUAUAACAAUUGCAAACAUCAAUCGACAAUGCCAGCUGUGAUGCAGUUCCCACGACUACCCCGUACAUGAUUUUUUUUUCUUCGGCUCUUAUUUGACACUGUUCCCUCACACUGCUGGCGUCUUAAGAUGCCCAAAAAAAGCCUUUUAUCCCUUAUUUUCAAGUAGUUCCUUCGCUUCAAUAUUAACAUUGGAGGUCACGGUCAUGGCAAUAAUUAUAAGUAGUGUUCUUGCAGUGUACACAACAACAACAACAACAACAACAACCCAGUAUAAUCCCACUUAGUGGGGUCUGGGGAGGG
rnacentral:lncRNA from 1 species